rnacentral:lncRNA from 1 species
GUCACCAUCAUGCUGCCCCUUCAAGUCCUCAUUUCAGGCCUCCUACUCCUUCUCCCAGCUCAGUUGUCUUCCAUGGAUUUCAGAAUGAAGUUUUUCAAAGUACAGAGCAAUCCGAAGCUGUAGACACUGUCGACAUUAUCAAAGUUCCAGUUGCCAUUUGAAGGGCCAUCAUCCUAAGACUGCAGAAGAAAGAAUGUCACCUGACCAUGCUGUUAUAUUUUCUCUGUGUCAGUUCAUGUCAUGUUCCAAUUUGCCAGCAGCAGUGGAGAGGGUGGCCCUCUCGCUGUUCAUAGGCCUAGUCAUUGUUCAUAUAGUACUCAUUCCUACCACACACUGGUGAGCAUUCUCUCAAACAGGAACAGCUUAGAAUCUCCUGUGUUCUUUAGAUGCCCCAAGUUGUGUCUGUGAGACAAAAUCAUUGGUAACGCAGAAAAGGGACUUCAUCUUAGUUACGAAACCCAUAAAGAAAAGAGGGAUACGAUUUAAAAAUUAAAAUAUGUAAAUAAUUAAAUAAAUAAAUGCAAGGGGGAGGAAUAAAUAAAUGCAAGUGGGGAGGGCAAGACUUAAUUUUGAAGUACUUCAUUAUCAUGCUUCCUUUCUUUUAUUGUAACUUAAAACAUUAUUUUUCAUCACCUUCCCCAAAGGGGCUUAAGUCAUGGGAUCUGCAGGAUUAAUUUGUCUGGUAGAUAAACAGAAAGGAGUCUAGAGGCGUCUAUGCUUUCUAAUGGCUCCUGAAAUAUGACACAGUGUACUAUGGUUGAUCUUAGGAUAACAAUGUGUGUUUUCUGCCAGGAGAGGCUACCAUGGUGAGUAUGGACCAGGCAGACAUCUGUGAAGAAGAUAAUGGGGCACAGGCUUGAGUUCAUUAGAGCUAUUUCCACUACACUUCCACCUUGAUGCUCGGUGUUCCUAGACUCACUCACUGAGCUCUGAGUUAGGAGCUAGAAGGAGACAAUGCAGAAAUGGAAGGGAAGAUGAGCGAGGGGGCAUAGGGGUCUCAGCCUUAGAGAAGUCCUGUUGUAGGUGGGACAAUGUUUGGGGCUACUGCUGGUUUCAUGUAGAGUUUUAAGUUUUUAAAUUGUCCACAGGCCAUGUUUAUAUUUAAAUGUAUUUCAGAAAACAAAAUCUUUUUUAUAGUGAAUCAGUUUGAAAAUCAACAAACUAUCUGGUUUUGCUAAGAAUUAACAAAG